UUAAUGGCUUUGUUAUUGUGAAAUUGAGAUUCAGUGUUUAUUUGUUGCUUUGAAUUGCACUCAGAGCUACAAAAUUUCGACAAUGACUUCAAGAAAGCGUUCCUACAAUGGAUUAAAACACGCAAAACAACAUAUGAUAUUAUUUUUCAUUUUAUUCGGCGUACUUUGUGGAUUUUUACUUGGUUCUUUAUUACAUGGCAAUGUUCAGUCGUCCAUAGAUCCAACACCGAAGGAAUAUGCAAUCUUGCUUUUGGCAGUCGCUGAAUUGGAGUCAAAACGGAGCGGAAAAUUGGGAAGAAGAACAUUGCUUUAUUGUCUUAUGACUACAAUGUUUGGGGAGUAAUUUGUUUAUUUGCAUUUAACCUGGAAAUGUUAACGUGAAAGAACCAGAACCGAACGAAGAAAAAGUUGAAACAAUACAUUCUGUGCUUGAUCUUAUAAGGCUCUUGUCCACUGCUCACUGCGAAAAUUAACUGUGAAGUGUUAAGUAAAGAAAGGGUUGCUGAAUGCUAUGUAGCUGAUCUUCAAAAUCUUACGAUGCAUUGUCCUACAUUUACAUGAUGGGUAUGUUAAGGGACUUCCCCUUGCAGAGGAAGCAUAUCAGAUGAAGUGACUGUUGCAUUAUGGGUAUUUUGCACGGCAGCACAUACCAAUUUCAUCUUUUUUGUUGAUGGUACUCUCCAAAAUUCCGUGCCACGACGAGACGCGUUUUUCAAAGGACCAACCCACGCACCUAUUAUAAUGUACUGACAACAAUAGUCGUAAAAAAGCAAAAAGUUGUCUAAAUACACCAUGCUGCGUGUUGUUACGUUGUUGUUCAACAUUGUGGCAUGUCGGUUGUUGCAUUGCACUGGUGUGUCAUGUAGCUGUGGCAGAAUGAAUGAUUUAAGUUCUUAAAGUUGGUCAACUGUAUUUAAAUUCGAUUUUAUACAAAGUAAGGAAAAUAGCGAAAAAACGGUGAAAAAAUUCAGAACUAACUUUAAUCAAACACGGACAAGAAGAAAAUCUCUAGAGCUUGGAGAAAGUACAUCAAGAUGAAAAUAAUUCCCGUUCACAAAACGUUCCAGAGAGCGUUGCAGAGGAUCAAGGAAUGGAAUCUGGAGCAGAAAGUCAGACUGAAUAUUUAAUAUUUUUACUCUUACUUUUAUAUUUGGAACUUCUUAUUGAAUUGUAUGAUUUAAAUCUUCCUUCAAUUCCUGAUGAACUAUAAAUAUCUAUAAUUUGUACAAGUUCGCCGUGAACAUAAUAAUAAUUGAAAUAUUUACUAAUUAGAACAAAUGUACUUUUCGAUGUCGUGAUGUCGAUGUCGUUGUGCAAAUUUUCAUCUCU